rnacentral:rRNA from 1 species
GAUCCUGACUCAGGACGAACGCUGGCGGCGUGCCUAACACAUGCAAGUCGAGCGGAGACAGUGAGUAGCUUGCUAUGAGCUGUUUUAGCGGCGGACGGGUGAGUAACGCGUGAGCAACCUUUCCCAGACAGGGGAAUAACACACCGAAAGGUGUACUAAUACCGCAUAAGACCACGGAAUCACAUGGCUCUGGGGUAAAAGAUUUAUCGGUUUGGGGUGGGCUCGCGUCCGAUUAGGUAGUUGGUGAGGUAACGG